rnacentral:rRNA from 1 species
UAAGACGGCCAUAGUGGAUUGGAAACACCUGUUCCCUUUCCGAACACAGAAGUUAAGCUUUCCACGUUGGUAGUGCUAGUGUCUGAAGAGAUGCGAACCUAUCAAGCUGUCUUGC